CGGCAAUUGCUCAAAUUUAAAAUCUGACUUCUUUUGAGGUCCGAAUUGUAAUUUGCAGAGGAUGCUUUUGACAAGGUGCCUUCCGAGUUCCCUGGAACGGGACGCCAUAGAGGGUGAGAGCCCCGUCUGGUCGGAUACCGCGUCUCUGUAAAGCUCCUUCGAC
rnacentral:rRNA from 1 species